GCGAGUCGAAUGUAGCAAUACAUGGCGUACUGCUCAGUAACACGUGGACAACCUACCCUCAGGACAGGUAUAAACCCGGGAAACUGGGUAUAAUCCCUGAUAGUCCUCGGCUGCUGGAAUGCAUCGAGGACGAAAGCUCCGGCGCCUGAGGAUGGGUCUGCGGCCUAUCAGGUAGUAGUGGGUGUAACGUACCUACUAGCCUACGACGGGUACGGGUUGUGAGAGCAAGAGCCCGGAGAUGGAUUCUGAGACACGAAUCCAGGCCCUACGGGGUGCAGCAGGCGCGAAAACUUUACAAUGCCGGCAACGGCGAUAAGGGGACCUCGAGUGCCAGGUUACAAAUCUGGCUGUCGCGAUGCCUAAAAAGCAUUGCAUAGCAAGGGCCGGGCAAGACCGGUGCCAGCCGCCGCGGUAACACCGGCGGCUCGAGUGGUAACCGUUAUUAUUGGGUCUAAAGGGUCUGUAGCCGGCCGGAUAAGUCUCCUGGGAAAUCCAGCAGCUUAACUGUUGGGCUUUCAGGAGAUACUGUUCGGCUCGAGGCCGGGAGAGGUGAGAGGUACUUCAGGGGUAGGGGUGAAAUCUUGUAAUCCUUGAAGGACCACCAGUGGCGAAGGCGUCUCACCAGAACGGACCUGACGGCAAGGGACGAAAGCUAGGGGCACGAACCGGAUUAGAUACCCGGGUAGUCCUAGCCGUAAACGAUACUCGCUAGGUGUCGGCCACGGUGCGACCGUUGUCGGUGCCGUAGGGAAGCCGUGAAGCGAGCCACCUGGGAAGUACGGCCGCAAGGCUGAAACUUAAAGGAAUUGGCGGGGGAGCACCACAACGGGUGGAGC
rnacentral:rRNA from 1 species